rnacentral:rRNA from 1 species
CAGUCGCCGCGGUAAUACAGAGGAUUUAAGCGUUAUCCGGAAUGAUUGGGCGUAAAGCGUCUGUAGGUGGCUUUUCAAGUCCGCCGUCAAAUCCCAGGGCUCAACCCUGGACAGGCGGUGGAAACUACCAAGCUAGAGUACGGUAGGGGCAGAGGGAAUUUCCGGUGGAGCAGUGAAAUGCGUUGAGAUCGGAAAGAACACCAACGGCGAAAGCACUCUGCUGGGCCGACACUGACACUGAGAGACGAAAGCUAGGGGAGCAAAUGGGAUUAGAUACCCGGGUAGUCCCUGUCUCUUAUAC